rnacentral:rRNA from 1 species
AGUGAACGCUGGCGGUAGGCCUAACACAUGCAAGUCGAACGGCAGCACAGUAAGAGCUUGCUCUUACGGGUGGCGAGUGGCGGACGGGUGAGGAAUACAUCGGAAUCUACUUUUUCGUGGGGGAUAACGUAGGGAAACUUACGCUAAUACAGCAUACGACCUACGGGUGAAAGCAGGGGAUCUUCGGACCUUGCGCGAUUGAAUGAGCCGAUGUCGGAUUAGCUAGUUGGCGGGGUAAAGGCCCACCAAGGCGACGAUCCGUAGCUGGUCUGAGAGGAUGAUCGGCCACACUGGAACUGAGACACGGUCCAGACUCCUACGGGAGGCAGCAGUGGGGAAUAUUGGACAAUGGGCGCAAGCCUGAUCCAGCCAUACCGCGUGGGUGAAGAAGGCCUUCGGGUUGUAAAGCCCUUUUGUUGGGAAAGAAAAGCAGCAGGUUAAUACCCCGCUGUUCUGACGGUACCCAAAGAAUAAGCACCGGCUAACUUCGUG